rnacentral:rRNA from 1 species
ACAGUUCGGUCCCUAUCCGAUGCGGGCAAACGAGACUUGAGGGAGGCCGUCCCUAGUACGAGAGGACCGGGACGGACGGACCACCGGUGCACCGGCUGUCGCGCCAGCGGCAACGUCGGGUAGCCGUGUCCGGUUUGGAUAAGCGCUGAACGCAUCUAAGCACGAAGCCAGUCCCAAGACCUUGUCUCGCGGAGCCUCGAGCUCCCUGUAGGCCGGUGGAAGAUGACCACCUCGAUAGGCGCCAGAUGCAAGCCCUGCGAAGGGUUCAGUCGAGGCGUACUAAUAGGCCGUGCGGCUUGGCUCC